rnacentral:rRNA from 1 species
UACGUAGGGUGCAAGCGUUAAUCGGAAUUACUGGGCGUAAAGUGUGCGCAGGCGGUUAUGUAAGACAGUUGUGAAAUCCCCGGGCUCAACCUGGGAACUGCAUCUGUGACUGCAUAGCUAGAGUACGGUAGAGGGGGAUGGAAUUCCGCGUGUAGCAGUGAAAUGCGUAGAUAUGCGGAGGAACACCGAUGGCGAAGGCAAUCCCCUGGACCUGUACUGACGCUCAUGCACGAAAGCGUGGGGAGCAAACAGG